UGGGGAAUAUUGCACAAUGGGCGCAAGCCUGAUGCAGCCAUGCCGCGUGUAUGAAGAAGGCCUUCGGGUUGUAAAGUACUUUCAGCGGGGAGGAAGGGAGUAAAGUUAAUACCUUUGCUCAUUGACGUUACCCGCAGAAGAAGCACCGGCUAACUCCGUGCCAGCAGCCGCGGUAAUACGGAGGGUGCAAGCGUUAAUCCGAAUUACUGGGCGUAAAGCGCACGCAGGCGGUUUGUUAAGUCAGAUGUGAAAUCCCCGGGCUCAACCUGGGAACUGCAUCUGAUACUGGCAAGCUUGAGUCUCGUAGAGGGGGGUAGAAUUCCAGGUGUAGCGGUGAAAUGCGUAGAGAUCUGGAGGAAUACCGGUGGCGAAGGCGGCCCCCUGGACGAAGACUGACGCUCAGGUGCGAAAGCGUGGGGAGCAAACA
rnacentral:rRNA from 1 species